rnacentral:sRNA from 1 species
GCUGGGUGUGAUGGUACACACCUGUAAUUCCAGCGGCUUGGGAGGCUGAGACAGGAGGACACGAGGUUCAAAGCCAGCCUCAUCAACAGCAAGGCACUAAGAUCCUGUCUCUA